UACGAGGGGGGCGAGCGUUGUUCGGAAUUAUUGGGCGUAAAGGGUGCGUAGGCGGUUUGGUAAGUCUUGUGUGAAAUCUCCAGGCUCAACUUGGAGUCUGCACGAGAAACUGCCGGGCUUGAGUGUGGGAGAGGUGAGUGGAAUUCCUGGUGUAGCGGUGAAAUGCGUAGAUAUCAGGAGGAACACCUGUGGCGAAAGCGGCUCACUGGACCACAACUGACGCUGAUGCACGAAAGCUAGGGGAGCAUACAGG
rnacentral:rRNA from 1 species